rnacentral:misc_RNA from 1 species
GAUGAAGAACGUAGCGAAAUGCGAUAAGUAAUGUGAAUUGCAGAAUUCAGUGAAUCAUCGAAUCUUUGAACGCACAUUGCGCCCGCCAGUAUUCUGGCGGGCAUGCCUGUUCGAGCGUCAUUUCAACCAUCAAGCCCCCGGGCUUGUGUUGGGGACCUGCGGCUGCCGCAGGCCCUGAAAACCAGUGGCGGGCUCGCUAGUCACUCCGAGCGUAGUAGUUACAUCUCGCUCAGGGCGUGCUGCGGGUUCCGGCCGUUAAAAGCCUUUUACCCCAAGGUUGACCUCGGAUCAGGUAGGAAGACCCGCUGAACUUAAGCAUAUCAAAGCGGAGGA